rnacentral:rRNA from 1 species
GGGGGGUAAAUUAAUAAUUUAAAGCUAAUAAAAAAAAUUUUAAUAUUAAAAAAAAAUAAUGGGGGUUAGAGUAUUUUUAAUAGAAAAAAUUAAUAAUUUUAUAGUUAAUUAUUACUGUAAAGGAAAUUAUAAAUAAUUGAAAAAUUAAUUAAAUAAAAAGUAAAUUUAAUUUAUUGUAUCUUGUGUAUCAGAGUUUAUUAAAUAUUAAUAAUUUAUUUAAAUAAAUCUCGAAUUUAAAAGAGUUAAUUAAUUAAAAAAGUUAAUGUUGAAUAAUUAUUUUAAAUAAUUAAUUAGAAAUGAAAUGUUAAUCGUUUUUAAAUAUAUCUAGUUUUUUUAGAAAAAAAUUUAAUUUUAAAUUUAAAUAAUUUUAUAAUUUUUUAAUUAAUUAUAAAAAUUUAAAAUUUAAUAUUUUAGGGGAUAAGCUUUAAAUUAAAUUAUUAUAAUUAAAUAAAUUAAUAAAUUAAAAUUUUUAAGAUUUAUAUUGUAUAAAAAUUAUAACUUAUUAUAAAAAAUUUUAAUUAAAAUAAAAUUUAAAUUAAAUUUAAUUUUUUAUAAAAAAAUAAUUUUUAAUUAUUAAAAAUUAGUAAUAAUGAUAAAAUUAGUAUAUUAAAAUUAAUAUGAGAAAUAUGUAAUUAAAAUUAAAUUAAAGGAAUUCGGCAAAAUUUUAUAUUCACUUGUUUAUCAAAAACAUGUCUUUUUGAUUAUAAUUUAAAGUCUAAUCUGCCCACUGAUAUAAAUUAUUAAAGGGCUGCAGUAUAUUGACUGUACAAAGGUAGCAUAAUCAUUAGUCUUUUAAUUGAAGACUUGUAUGAAAGAUUUGAUGAAAUAUAAACUGUCUCUAAUUUAUUUAUAUAAAAUUUAAUUUUUUAGUUAAAAAGCUAAAAUAAAAUUAAAAGACGAGAAGACCCUAUAGAGUUUUAUAAUUAAAAUAAUUAAUAAAUCUUAUAUGUAUAUAAAUAAAGAAAAAUUAUUUUAAUUAUUUUAUUGGGGUGAUAAAAAAAUUAAAAAAACUUUUUUUAUAUUUAAACAUUAAUAAGUGAAAAAAUGAUCCAUUAAUAGUGAUUAUAAGAAAAAAUUACCUUAGGGAUAACAGCGUAAUAUUUUUUUUUAGUACGAAUAAAAAAAAAAGUUUGCGACCUCGAUGUUGGAUUAAGAUAAAAUUUAAAUGCAAAAGUUUAAAAUUUUGAUCUGUUCGAUCAUUAAAAUCUUACAUGAUCUGAGUUCAAACCGGGGUAAGCCAGGUUGGUUUCUAUCUUUAAUAAAAAUAAAUAUUUUA